rnacentral:sRNA from 2 species
UGUAUCUGAAGCCUGACGAGGAUGAGAACCUCCGGGGGCAAGAGGUUCGACCCGAGCGAAGCGAGAGAACGUUGCGUCAGCAACGGCCCGCAGGGCGAGCCACG